rnacentral:rRNA from 1 species
AUGCUAAGAAGUGCCGUAUUCCAGAAGACUUCUCCUCGAUCUCUGGGCUGGAAUAUGGGGUGUUCCGGUUUUUCUGAGUCGGGGUGCCACAAUCAACCAAGCCGCCUUCUCAUGGGGGUGAAACUGCGAAGGUCCCCCCUGCAUGAAGCUGGCGAGCCUUCACAACUUCAGGGAGUAUUUUCGAGGGGAUGGACCCUGGGCAGGCAACGGAACCCGGAUCCUUUCAAAAACAUCAGGGCUGGCAACGCCCCUCAAUCCGGCUCGCCCCUGGCUGGCUUCCCAAUGCAACUCGGCCAGGUGCCGCAACCAGGCCAAGCCGGCUGGCGCAUGUCGGCCGGUUCCCACAAGACAAACCUCCGUCGAGAAACAAGCAUGGCUACAGUGCGCCCCCCUUUACGCCGACCCCGGUGUGCUCGGCUGUCGUGCCAACCAAGCCGCCCGCCUCCUCGAAGGUGCUACCCUGUAGCAAUCCGGCGCAGUCGUCGCAUGACGUCUGGCCGUACUCGUAGCAACCCUACAGUACUCGCCAGCCGGCCAUACCCACGCCCGAUGGACCCGGUACAGCCUGCACCCUACGGACCCGGCGAGACCCGCAUCCGGCGGACCCGACAGACCCGGUGCCCCAGUGGCCCCCACUGCCGGCUCCCACACACUAACAUCCCGGCCCCGUGGCCAUGUAACUUUACCAUUGUAACCCCGGGGGGCCAACCUAUAAGACCCCCCGGUGCUCCUCCAUGCAGAGGGUCGAUCGAUCACUAG